UACGUAGGGGGCGAGCGUUGUCCGGAAUUAUUGGCGGAAGGACGUGUAGCGGCCGAUCAAGUCAGGUGUGAAAUUCCAGGGCUCAACCCUGGACGUGCACUUGAAACUGGUUGGCUUGAGUGCAGAAGAGGAAAGUGGAAUUCCCAGUGUAGCGGUGAAAUGCGUAGAUAUUGGGAGGAACACCAGUGGCGAAGGCGACUUUCUGGUCUGUAACUGACGCUGAGGCGCGAAAGCUAGGGGAGCAAACAGGG
rnacentral:rRNA from 1 species